UACGUAGGGUGCGAGCGUUAAUCGGAAUUACUGGGCGUAAAGCGUGCGCAGGCGGUUUUGUAAGACAGGCGUGAAAUCCCCGGGCUCAACCUGGGAAUGGCGCUUGUGACUGCAAGGCUAGAGUGCGUCAGAGGGGGGUAGAAUUCCACGUGUAGCAGUGAAAUGCGUAGAGAUGUGGAGGAAUACCGAUGGCGAAGGCAGCCUCCUGGGAUAACACUGACGCUCAUGCACGAAAGCGUGGGGAGCAAACAGG
rnacentral:rRNA from 1 species